GUGUCAGCCGCCGCGGUAAGACGUAGGAUGCAAGCGUUGUCCGGAAUUAUUGGGCGUAAAGAGUUCGUAGGCGGCAUAUCAAGUCUGGUGUUAAAGCCCGAGGCUCAACCUCGGAUCGGCACUGGAUACUGAUAAGCUAGAGUGCAGUAGAGGCAAGGGGAAUUCCCAGUGUAGCGGUGAAAUGCGUAGAUAUUGGGAGGAACACCAGUGGCGUAAGCGCCUUGCUGGGCUGUUACUGACGCUGAGGAACGAAAGCCAGGGGAGCAAAUGGGAUUAGAAACCCCCGUAGUCC
rnacentral:rRNA from 1 species